rnacentral:rRNA from 1 species
GACAGAGGUGCCAAGCGUUAGGCGGAAUCACUGGGCUUAAAGCGUGUGUAGGCGGAAUGGUAAGUACCUUGUGAAAUCCCACGGCUCAACCGUGGAACUGCUGGGUAUACUGCUUUUCUUGAGCCACUUAGGGGCUGUCGGAACAAACGGUGGAGCGGUGAAAUGCGUAGAUAUCAUUUGGAACGCCAACGGUGAAAACAGCUGGCUGGGGGUGUGCUGACGCUGAGACACGAAAGCCAGGGGAGCGAACGGG